GACGAACCGAGCGAACGUUGUUCGGAAUCAUUGGGCUUAAAGGGUGCGUAGGCGGUGCGGAAAGUUGGGUGUGAAAUCCCUCGGCUCAACCGAGGAAUUGCGCCCAAUACUACCGUGCUCGAGGGAGACAGAGGUAAGCGGAACUUAGGGUGGAGCGGUGAAAUGCGUUGAUAUCCUAAGGAACACCAGUGGCGAAAGCGGCUUACUGGGUCUCUUCUGACGCUGAGGCACGAAAGCUGGGGGAGCAAACGGG
rnacentral:rRNA from 1 species